rnacentral:pre_miRNA from 1 species
AGCUUUUGGAAGCCGUGCUGAGAUUUCAUCAGACAUCAAACCAUUAGGGCUGAUCAAACUCCUAAGAUAUGUGGAGUU